rnacentral:lncRNA from 1 species
CUUGGACUCAUUGGGCAGAGUAAAUAUCACGCCGGAAUCGUAAUAAUAACAGCAAUUCUGCCUCAGGUUAUCGAGAGAGAGUCUUCUACCUGAAGAUGAAAGCUGGGAUGUCGUCUUCUUGAAUUUUAAGUCAUACCUCAGGCCUCAUAAAUGGGCUCUUCUCUUGGGUUUUAUCCUAUGACCCUAUUUUGUUCACCCACCUAGGACCUGGAUUUGGAGCUCUUACAUAAGCCAGAAGACAGUAAGCUAACAGCCCUGGUGAGCUCCUUCCCACCUGCUGACCUACCUCACUGCUCUAAGAUUGUUGCUGGUAACUUCUGAGGAUUGUGCCUAGUUAUUACCAUAUUCUUUGGGAACUGGACUUUGCCUGCCGAUGGGAACUUUUUCUUGACUUCUGUAGUCUGGCCAAUUUCCCCAGCACAUGUCUCACCUAGUGGGUGGGUUUAACCUCAGGACUACUGUCUAUGCCAGUAACAUUGUCUUCUUCUGGAAGAAAUUGGACAAUGCAUGACUGAGUCCCAGGAUAUGAAAGCACAGGCCCUUGGCAAGAUAGUAAGAGAGUGGAUUAAUUUCUAACAAUAAGAAUAUAACAGAACGAUAAUCAUCAUUUAUGGAAGAAUUCUUAGGUAUUCUGAUCGCUCAGUGUCCUCAGGAACAAGAAAGAAGAAGACAGCGCCAUGUGUGGCAUGAGACAAAAUGAAGCUGAAGUCCUAAGUCUUUCUCUUAUCGUCUGUGAAAGUUAAGUGUGCAGUGUUAACAAUGACGGGAAGCACAACAGUGAAAGUAAUAAACCAGUUUGCUGCCUUCUCCCCUGCGUCACAGAUGGACAAACUCCCUUAGGACACUCGUGUGAUGGGAUCCUGCAAUGGAGGAUUGGGAAGAGCACCUUCACCAAAGCCUACCUCACUUCAGUGCCCUUCCAAUCCGCUCCCGGCCACCAUCCCACGAUGCUUCGAGUAUCCAGAAA